AAGGUUUCCGUAGGUGAACCUG
rnacentral:ncRNA from 4 species